UAGGUAGUUUCAAGUUGUUGGG
rnacentral:miRNA from 6 species